UCGCCUGUUUAUCAAAAACAUGGUUUCUUGAUUAUUUAAGAAAUCUAACCUGCCCACUGAAAAUUUUGAAGGGCCGCAGUAUUUUGACUGUGCAAAGGUAGCAUAAUCAUUAGUCUUUUAAUUGAAGGCUGGUAUGAAUGGUUGGAUGAGGUGAAUUCUGUUUUAUAUAUAUUAAUAAUUGAAUUUAGAUUUUAAGUAAAAAGACUUAAGUGUUAUUAAGGGACGAGAAGACCCUAUAGAGUUUAAUAAAUGUAUUAAAUAAUUAAGUUAAUUUAGAAUUUUUAAUUUAUUAUUAAAUUUAUUUAAUUGGGGUGAUUGGAAGAUAAAAUAAACUCUUCUUUAAAUUAAAUAUUUUAGUUAGUUAAGUGAUCCAUAAUUAAUGAUUAAAAGAUUAAAUUACCUUAGGGAUAACAGCAUAAUUUCUUUUAAGAGUUCAUAUCGAAAGAGAAGAUUGUGACCUCGAUGUUGGAUUAAGAUAAAAUUUUGGUGUAGAUGCUUAAAUAUUAGGUCUGUUCGACCUUUAAUAUCUUACAUGAUCUGAGUUCAAACCGGAGA
rnacentral:rRNA from 1 species